UGCAGAGUUUCCACCUUUAAACUGGAC
rnacentral:piRNA from 1 species